UUAAGCAUAUCAAUAAGCGGAGGAAAAGAAACCAACAGGGAUUGCCCUAGUAACGGCGAGUGAAGCGGCAACAGCUCAAAUUUGAAAUCUGGCUCUCGGGCCCGAGUUGUAAUUUGUAGAGGAUGCUUCUGGCGCGGUGCCUUCCGAGUUCCCUGGAACGGGACGCCUUAGAGGGUGAGAGCCCCGUACGGUCGGACACCAAGCCUAUGUGAAGCUCCUUCGACGAGUCGAGUAGUUUGGGAAUGCUGCUCUAAAUGGGAGGUAAAUUUCUUCUAAAGCUAAAUAUUGGCCAGAGACCGAUAGCGCACAAGUAGAGUGAUCGAAAGAUGAAAAGCACUUUGAAAAGAGGGUUAAACAGCACGUGAAAUUGUUGAAAGGGAAGCGUUUGCGACCAGACUUUUUCCCGGCGGAUCAUCCGGCGUUCUCGCCGGUGCACUUCGCCGGGUCAAGGCCAGCAUCGGUUUCCGGAGGGGGACAAAAGCUUUGGGAACGUGGCUCCUUCGGGAGUGUUAUAGCCCUUUGCAUAAUGCCCCUCUGGGGACCGAGGUUCGCGCAUCUGCAAGGAUGCUGGCGUAAUGGUCGUCAACGACCCGUCUUGAAACACGGACCAAGGAGUCGAACAUUUGUGCAAGUGUUAGGGUGUCAAACCCCUGCGCGUAAUGAAAGUGAACGGAGGUGAGAGCCCUUACGGGUGCAUCAUCGACCGAUCCUGAUGUUUUCGGAUGGAUUUGAGUAAGAGCAUAACUGUUCGGACCCGAAAGAUGGUGAACUAUGCGUGGGUAGGGUGAAGCCAGAGGAAACUCUGGUGGAGGCUCGCAGCGGUUCUGACGUGCAAAUCGAUCGUCAAACCUGCGCAUGGGGGCGAAAGACUAUCGA
rnacentral:rRNA from 1 species